GGAAGCCAGCCAGCUUGAGCCUCAGGGAGCAGCAUGAGGACCUCUCCCACUAUGGCCUGGACUCCUCUCUUCUUCGGCCUCCUCCUGCACUGUACAGACUCUGUAGCCUCUUAUGUGCUGACUCAGCCAUCCUCAGCGUCAGUGACACUGGGACAGACGGCCAGGAUCACCUGUGGAGGAAACGGCAUUGGAAACAAAUAUGUGCACUGGCACCAGCAGAAGGCAGGCCAGGCCCCUGUGCUGGUCAUUAUUAUAGUAGUAACAGGCCCUCAGGCAUCCUGGACAGAUUCUCUGGCUCCAACUCUGGAAACACAGCCACCCUGACCAUCAGCAGUACCCAGGCUGAGGAUGAGGCUGAUUAUUACUGCCAGGUGUGGGACAGCAGCAGUGAUGCUCACUGUGACACAGACACAUGAGGAAAUGAGACAAAAACUGGACACCAGCCUGGCUCUCACAGUCCCUCCCAAGUAUGUUCACACUGACAGUAGCCUGCCUGACACAUGGAGUGAAAAGCCUCCCCAGUUCUGAAUGAACAGAAAAUUCAAGUUCAUCAAAUUGCCUGCCUAGGAUGGUGUAGAACUCUUACAAUUGAACCUCGGAGGAGGAUGUGAUGAAAUAAA